rnacentral:misc_RNA from 1 species
GAUGAAGAACGCAGCGAAAUGCGAUACGUAAUGUGAAUUGCAGAAUUCAGUGAAUCAUCGAGUCUUUGAACGCACAUUGCGCCCCCUGGUAUUCGGGGGGGCAUGCCUGUCCGAGCGUCAUUGCUGCCCUCAAGCACGGCUUGUGUGUUGGGCCUCCGUCCUCCUCCCGGGGGACGGGCCCGAAAGGCAGCGGCGGCACCGCGUCCGGUCCUCGAGCGUAUGGGGCUUCGUCACCCGCUCUUGUAGGCCCGGCCGGCGCUUGCCGACACAUCAAUCUUUUUUCCAGGUUGACCUCGGAUCAGGUAGGGAUACCCGCUGAACUUAAGCAUAUCAAUAAGCGGAGGA